CAGGACUGUCCUCCUUCGCCUUAUUCCAGAAGCCCAUAAUGCUUUGCGACAAAGGUGACUUCCGGUUUAUUUCCGCAUUCAAUUUCCUAGUUAUCGAUACGAGUGAAAGGAAGAGCAUAAUUGGCAAAAUAGAUAGAUAGAGUUGUCCAUUCUGGAUGUUUGAUUCCGCCAAGUCGAUGCUCAACAGGAGUAGGCAGUUGAUACCAUUGAUCUGAUAGCACCUGCUAUAUCAAUGGUUUUACAAGAAAAAAUUGUGCAAAACACAAGAGACGGAAUCGGUUCAAGAACAGAGAUAAAAUAAAUGAAGUGUGUCAAUAUGAAUGAAAACUUUCCUUGACUGCAAGGACUAAAGAAAUGCACACAAGUGACAUAAAUUUAAAUGUUUGGUACAAAAAGUAGACAUUUAGAACUUAAAAUUAUGACACAGGAUGUGAAACAACACUUUAUAGCCGAUAACAGUCGAACAAGAGAUUUUUCAAAAAGAAGCAAGAUGUGGUUUUUUAACCCUUGGCAAAUGAACCUUUAAAGGGAUUAUUGCAUACCAAGGACAAUUUAUUGUUAUUGAAUUAUAUCAUGUUUAAUGUUAUUAUUAAAUUAUAAAAAAUAC